rnacentral:rRNA from 1 species
CCUACGGGUGGCAGCAGUGGGGAAUAUUGCACAAUGGGGGAAACCCUGAUGCAGCGACGCCGCGUGAGUGAAGCAGUAUUUCGGUAUGUAAAGCUCUAUCAGCAGGGCAGAAGCAAGACGGUACCUGACUAAGAAGCCCCGGCUAACUACGUGACAGCAGCCGCGGUAAUACGUAGGGGGCAAGCGUUAUACGGAUUUACUGGGUGUAACGGGAGCAUAGACGGGAUGGCAAGUCUGAAGUGAAAGCCCAGGGCUGAAACCUGGGAAUGCUUUGGAUACUGUUAGACUCGAGUGCUGGAGAGGUAAGUGGAAUUCCUAGUGUAGCGGUGAAAUGCGUAGAUAUUAGGAGGAACACCAGUGGCGAAGGCGGCUUACUGGACAGUAACUGAUGUUGAGGCUCGAAAGCGUGGGGAGCAAACAGGAUUAGAUACCCCUGUAGUC